GACGAACGCUGGCGGCGUGCUUAACACAUGCAAGUCGAACGGUGAAAGCGGAGCUUGCUCCGCUGGAUCAGUGGCGAACGGGUGAGUAACACGUGGGCAACCUGCCCCUCACUUCGGGAUAACUCCGGGAAACCGGGGCUAAUACCGGAUAUGACCUCCUUGGGCAUCCUUGGCGGUGGAAAGUUUUUCGGUGAGGGAUGGGCCCGCGGCCUAUCAGCUUGUUGGUGGGGUAGUGGCUCACCAAGGCGACGACGGGUAGCCGGCCUGAGAGGGCGACCGGCUACACUGGGACUGAGACACGGCCCAGACUCCUACGGGAGGCAGCAGUGGGGAAUAUUGCGCAAUGGGCGAAAGCCUGACGCAGCAACGCCGCGUGCGGGAUGACGGCCUUCGGGUUGUAAACCGCUUUCAGCAGGGAAGAAGCCGCAAGGUGACGGUACCUGCAGAAGAAGCACCGGCUAACUACGUGCCAGCCGCCGCCGUAA
rnacentral:rRNA from 1 species